GGCCCAGUACACACAUUCUCGGCCAGGUUCCGGAUCCCGAAGCCCCUGCCCGUGCUCGCCGGUCGCCGCCACCGCCGCAUCGCCGGCCGGAUGGUGGGUCGGCCUGUACCCCCAGCCGCUUGCCCGCUUCCCCCUCCUCUUCCAGCUCCCUCUAUCUGCCGGCCUCCUCUUUCCUGGCAUUGGUGGCGAAGGUCGCCACAGGCACAUGCGAUGCGUCGGCGCCUUCACUGUUCGUUUUCACGGCGGCGUGGGCGAGGCAGGCGAGGCACCAUGGCCGUGCGCCUGCGGUGGGUUGGAUGUGGCUGGAUGGCGCCGGCUGAAUUCCUUGGCCUCUGACGGCUGCGGCAGGGGAGGUUGCGGAGGCCGGCAGCAGCGGCACUCCUGUAUUUCUUUAUUUCUUCUGAAGUUAAGAUGAGACAACUCAACAAUGGAUCCGUUUGGAAGAGAGGUGAGAGUGACCAUACAUUUAAUCUGAAACAGGGAUAAAAUAGCAGCAGCAACUGGUUGGUUACUGCUAUUAGGUAUUUUUCCCCUUUUAUUUGGCAGGUAUGUCUUGUUUAGUUGGUACCGGUAGCAUUGUAUUGUAGCUACAGUAGUGGCAUGUUUUUGAGCCAUUAUUUUUAUUAAUUUACAUAGUGAGUGAAAAUUCUUAGAGAUGUGUUGACACCGGAUUUUGACAAAUCCGAUGUACUCUGAAUUAUGGAACAGUCAGCUCUUUGGGUCAAUGUGUAAGCCGACAGACAACAGCAGUUGCCGAUGAAGCCGGAAGCCUGGUAGCUGGGGAUUCACGCGUAAAAACAAUUGAAGCAAAAGGUUAACAAGGGUUCACGUGCGGACAGCAGCAUGAGAAUUAUUUGGAUUAAUCUGGCCGAAUAAUCAAUGUGAUUAGCAUGCAGAUCAAAGCUAAGGAAGCUUCAUGUACGGGGGAGGCUGGAGGAUUAAAGGAAGGAAAUUACCUGCGUACAAGCAAGGGGCAAAGCUAUGGCUGAUUUCCAUAAUUAAAUAUAUAGGGGAGAUAAUUACCUGCCAAGUGCGCGUGGGGGCAAAAUAAAAGAGUAUGAAAGCCAGUGUCUAUACGGCGUAUGCGAGGGCCCGGGAAGGACGGAUGGGCAGGAGACUUUGUUAGCAAGGAUUCUAGAGAAAGGGAAAAUAGAGUCCGUGUA